AGCGCGUGUGUGCGCGAGAGCGGCGGGCGGCGGCGGGAGGAGGCGCAGGCGCGCUGCUCGCCCGUCUGCAGCCCCGCGCCGAGCGCCGCGUCUCGGGGAGUCGAUGGCAGCACCAGUGUGCGGCCGCCCAGCCGAGCGCCGAGCGCAGCCGCCCGCCGCUGCCCAGGGAGCGUCCAAAAUGUGGGGGGAUCGGGGCGGCAGCGGCCGCAGUAGCGCUAGGGACGGGGGCGCGCAGCAGCCUCCGCUCGCCCGCCUGUGCUGACCUGCCUCGCCUGCCCCCAGAGAAUGUCAGCCAAGUCCAAGGGGACCCCCUCCUCGUCCUCUCCAGCCGAGGGACCUCCGGCAGCCUCCAAAACCAAGGUGAAGGAACAAAUCAAGAUCAUUGUGGAGGAUCUAGAAUUAGUCCUGGGCGACCUGAAGGACGUGGCCAAGGAACUUAAGGAGGUGGUUGACCAGAUUGAUACCCUGACCUCCGACCUGCAGCUGGAGGAUGAGAUGACCGACAGCUCCAAAACGGACACCCUGAAUAGUAGCUCCAGCGGCACAACGGCCUCCAGCAUCGAGAAGAUCAAAGUGCAGGCCCACGCACCCCUCAUCAAGCCCCCAGCACACCCAUCUGCUAUCCUCACCGUCCUGAGAAAGCCAAACCCUCCGCCACCUCCCCCGCGGUUGACCCCUGUGAAGAGUGAAGAGCCCCCGAGAGGGGUGCCAACGGUCAAUCCUGUGAAGACGAAUGGUACCCUCCUGCGAAAUGGAGGCUUUCCCGGGGCACCCAACAAAAUUCCAAAUGGAAACGUCUGCUGCAUACCCGCUAGUACCUUGGACAAGGCUCCCGGACGGCCUCUGAAGCACAGACCUGAAAAAGACAGGUGCCUCCAGGCAGGGCCUCGGGAACGAGUUCGGUUUAAUGAAAAAGUACAGUACCAUGGCUAUUGUCCCGACUGUGACACCCGGUAUAACAUAAAAAACAGGGAGGUCCAUUUACACGGCGAACCUGUCCACCCACCGGAAAAGCUUCCUCACCCAGGCCCCCCCCUCCCUCCUCCACCCCACCUCCCUCCUUUUCCACUGGAAAACGGGGGGCUGGGAAUAAGCCACAGUCACAGUUUCCCCCCUCUCAGACCUGCAACUGUGCCUCCUCCCACUGCACCAAAACCACAGAAGACAAUCUUGAGGAAAUCAACCACUACAACAGUGUGAUGUGACUUAAGGAUUUCCCUGCUGUCAUCAAAAGUGUUCAGUGCCGGGAAGAACUGAAUCUUCCUGAAGAAGCUUAGAAUAUUUUAAUGUAAAACUUUUGUCGGAUGUGGAGAAAUCAGUGCUAAUUUAAGACUGUUAAAAUGAUCAUAGUCAUGUCAUUUAGGAUUUUGUUAUAGGAAGCCAUUAAAGAAAAUUCCAACAAGAGAGUGUAUCAUUUUGAAGAAGGAUUGCCCACUCUUGGGCAAAAUUAGACAAGAUAAGAUCCAUGUGAAAUAAGUUAAGAAGAUAUAUUACUUCCAGAUUAUACCUGGAAAGCCAUGAUAAGAAACUGGAAAAUAAUAGCAGUGGAAAUAAUGUGGGGUUCUUCAAAUAAUGGAAAUAACAUAGAAUAACAGAAAAUCUUGCCUCAUAACCUGUGUUUUGUUUUUGAUUGGAAUGCUGAGAGGGACAGUGAGGAUCUAUACACUUGAGCUUUGAAAACAUCUUCCCCUAACUGUCUUUGCACUGACCAGACAUGUUUAUGCUUAGAUCAAACUAACAUAGUGAGCUCUAGACCAAAAAAGAAACUGAACAGUAAAAAAUACAUAUACCCUCUGGGAAAUGACAGCCAUUUUUGAGACCAGCGAUUAGCAAGGUGUACAUCCCUGGAUUAUGUCCCAGUUAAGGUAGAACUCACUCAGCUGCCACUACUCAUGAAUGUGAGAUUUCUCUUAUAUCUGGUUCAGAAUGGUAUUUGGUUACAAGUUUGUACUUAUUUGCGGCUGUAGGUCAAGUUAGCUCAAGUAGUGGAAACAGUUAUUAUACAAAUACUUAGCUCAGCUCAAAGUAGUCCCUGAGAAGCUUCAGUUAGAAAACCAAAGAGGGAAAGAGGAGGUUCUAGUAAUGGGUCAUUAUAUAUUUUGUCAGAGAGAGAACCGGAAACAUGCCGCUAAAAGAUCCAAUCACAAUGUGGCAUUUUUUGUCUCCUUUGUUCUGAGAAUGUUAUAAAGAUGAGUGCAGAUAACGUUAUGAAGGAUGGAGAAUGCAGCGCCAAGUAAGGAUUUUUAAUGUUUCCAUGAAUCAACAAGGAAACAUUCAUGGUUUUCAGCAGAAAAGUGAUGUGAUGAAAGAGCAUUUGUGAGAGGUCCUUCAGCUUGGAAGGAAUAUCUUUAUUUGGAGGCAUGUCAGCUCAUUUUUCUCACUUCAGAUUCAUCAUUAUGACUUCUUGAGGCCAGAUCUAAUUUUGAAGUAACCAGGAAUCUGUCCAUCAUUGAGCAGUAAAUCCCUCAACUUUGGAGCACAAAAGAUCACUGAUACGAUCUGCAUAAAAUCAUCUGCCUCUAGUCUGAUAGCCAUGAGCAGAGCCCUGGGGGCAAAAAAAAAAAGCCACAGCCUUAAAUCUCUUCACUCUGAAAUUACCAAGAAGAUUAAAAAAAAAAAAAAAAGACUAAACAAGCAAGCCAACAACAUCAGAAACAACAACGAAAACAAAGAAAACCCAUCUUAUUUCACCUUGGAAAAAAAUAAAUAUUCCCAGAUGUGAGCCCAAGAAAAUUUAUAUUCAGCAAUUAAGCUAGAAAAUUGAUUCAUCAUUUGGGAAAGUGAAAGUAUAGAGAUAGGAGGUAUCUCUAGCCCGAUUUAUUCAGCAUUUCAAAAUAUGCAGACAAAAAGAAAACUGAACAGAGGAGCAUUUCAGCAAUGAACAGUAUUAGGACAGAAUGUUGCUGUUUGCAGAGAGGAUGUUUGCCAUCUUGUGCACACCCUCAAAGCCAUAAUGGAAUAACAGCAUUGUCAUUGAUUGCUUGAAAAGUUUCUGCAUUCAGUCCUUCACCCCAUAUUGGUUAAGGCGCGGGGGCGGGGGGCAGUUCUCACUGAUUACUUCUCAAUGCACUUCUAAUAUUUGCACUGUCACUUCCAUUCAGGGUAAUGAUGUGUGCUGUUAUUUGCACAGAUGGUCCCAUGAGUUUUGAGACCACAAGCAGUUACAUGCAGGAGUCCAGAAAGGAAACAUUUAAGAAUUCCUCAGACAUUGCUUUCUCUUUCUUCUGUAAAAGUCAGUUAUCAUCUAAAAAAUGGACUUGUCUCAGAUUAAAAAACAACUACAAAAUAAUAAGGAAAGCGCAUAAGUGUGGUCAAAUGAAUGGAGAAGGUAUCCAAAGUUUGUUUUAGUGAAGAUCAUUUUAUAUCAUUAACAGCCAAGAAGUCAGAUAGAGUGAAAUGUACACUACACAUUUGUGUUGAACAUAUAUUUGUUCUCUUAAUUAAAGAAAUCAUUUGUAAUUUGUAUUUGACAUAUAACAGUUUUUUAGAGCCAUUUAUCUAUGCUUCAUG